GGGAUUGCCUCAGUAACGGCGAGUGAAGCGGCAACAGCUCAAAUUUGAAAUCUGGCUCCUUCGGGGUCCGAGUUGUAAUUUGUAGAGAGUGCUUCGGGUGAGACCGCGGUCUAAGUCCAUUGGAACAUGGCGUCAUAGAGGGUGAGAAUCCCGUAUGUGACUGCGGCGCGAGCCCAUGUGAAGCCUCUUCGACGAGUCGAGUUGUUUGGGAAUGCAGCUCAAAAUGGGUGGUAAAUUUCAUCUAAAGCUAAAUACUGGCUGGAGACCGAUAGCGCACAAGUAGAGUGAUCGAAAGAUGAAAAGCACUUUGGAAAGAGAGUCAAACAGUACGUGAAAUUGUUGAAAGGGAAGCGCUUGCAACCAGACCUGUCCGUGGGCGAUCAGCCGCUGUUCUCAGUGGUGCACUCGUUCCGCGAUCAGGCCAGCAUCGGUUCUGGCGGUUGGAUAAAGGCCUUGGGAAUGUAGCUUCCUUUCGGGGGAGUCUUAUAGCCCUCGGUGCAAUGCGGCCAGCCGGGACCGAGGACCGCGCUUCGGCUAGGAUGCUGGCGUAAUGGUUGUAAGCGACCCGUCUUGAAACACGGACCAAGGAGUCUAACAUCUAUGCGAGUGUUUGGGUGUCAAACCCAUGCGCGGAAUGAAAGUGAACGGAGGUGAGAACCCUUUAGGGCGCAUCAUCGACCGAUCCAGAUGUCUUCGGAUGGAUUUGAGUAUGAGCAUAGCUGUUGGGACCCGAAAGAUGGUGAACUAUGCCUGAAUAGGGUGAAGCCAGAGGAAACUCUGGUGGAGGCUCGCAGCGGUUCUGACGUGCAAAUCGAUCGUCAAAUUUGGGUAUAGGGGCGAAAGACUAAUC
rnacentral:rRNA from 1 species